AUAUAAUUAAGCGGAGGAAAAGAAACUAACUAGGAUUCCCUUAGUACCGGCGAGGGAAGAGGGAUCAGCCCAGGCCGAAUCUGUAACGGUCCUCCGUUACCGAGCUGUAGCCUUCUGAUCAGCAUCACAGGGUCAGUGGUAGGUGUAAGUCCCUUGGAACAGGGCGCCAUAGAGGGUGAUAGCCCCGUACCACCUAUCAACGUGAUCCACCACGUGUUGCUGCUUCCUAGAGUCGCGUUGUUUGAGAGUACAACGCAAAAUGGGUGGUAAGUACCAUCUAAGGCUAAAUACUGAUCUGAGACCGAUAGCGCACAAGUA
rnacentral:rRNA from 1 species